AACAGUGGAUAGUUUAUUGAAAAUAUAGCAUUUGGGGUGUUAAGAUUUGGGGCUGAUGG
rnacentral:tRNA from 1 species